AUCGCCUACGUUCAUUUUCGUCUGCAUUGUUUAACACUACAGGAAACUAAAUAAACCGUUCAUUGAGAUAUAACAGUCUCACUGCCAGAGAGAGUUUCUUUCACCUAGAAAAAUUAAACAGUUAAAUGGAAACAAGUUAGUGAACAGAACCGGAUCAAUGUAAAUCAAUAAAAUCGAUGAGGAAACAUAAAAACAAUCUACAUAUAGCUUAUUUCCUAACCUAAACUUUUAUGUUUCUGUUUCUUUCCAAGUAUAUUUUUUUCUAAGGAAAUUUGAAGUUUGUUUUAAUUUUUAAUUAUUAUAAUUAUUAUAUUAAUAUAAUUUUGUAUAAAUUUGUGAUCAUAGAAAUUAUAAUUAAAUACAAUUCAACAUUAUCACAAUUAGGAUAUUCAAAUAAAGUUGUUAAAACAAAUUUUUGCAUUUGUAAAUCAUAUGUAUAUGAAUUAUAAGAAUUCUUCUAUAUGUAUUACUGACGUAUGGGUAACGAAUGUCAAUCAGAUAUGUAAGCAGACGUAUUGUGGCUAUAAAUUGAUCAUUUUACCUGUACAUUUCCAGGGGCCACAUAUAAGGUGUGUCGCUAUAAAACGUAUGUGGAGCGUACGAGGGCUAGGCAUGGCACACCCAUGAUAAAUAGAAUAUAAUAAAUUACGUAAUUGUAAUCCUUAUGAAUUACUUUGACUUUAAAAAAUCAACAUUUAAUUAAUUUUUUAAACUCUUAUUGUGAAUAUAGGACCGAAUCAAGGCAGGACUCGCCGACAAGAUCAAUAAGCAACGUACCGACCCUUCUUCGCAAGGUUUUUAAUGCUUUCUUAUAAAUGCCCUUUCACGAAGCCUUUAUACAUUGGACCCAUUCCUACAAAAAUCCAGAUGUCUACUAUGAAGCGAAAAUGAUCCAUACAGAAUAUACGUAAUCUUCAACAAGAGAUAUUUCCAUGAUUUUUUUUAUAAAAAUAAUAAUUGCAAUAUGUGCAAUUGUAAAUUUGGUAAAUUGAAUAAUUAA